rnacentral:rRNA from 1 species
AUUGAACGCUGGCGGCGGGCCUAACACAUGCAAGUCGAGCGGAUGAAGGGAGCUUGCGCCUGGAUUCAGCGGGGGACGGGGGUGUAAUGCCUAGGAAUCUGCCCGGUAGUGGUGGAUAACGUCCGGAAACGGGCGCUAAUACCGCAUGCGUCCUGAGGGAGAAAGUGGGGGAUGUUCGGACCUCACGCUAUCAGAUGAGCCUAGGUCGGAUUAGCUAGUUGGUGGGUUAAAGGCCUACCAAGGCGAGGAUCCGUAAGUGGUCUGAGAGGAUGAUCAGUCACACGGGAAGUGAGACACGGACAAGACUCCUACGGGAGGCACCAGUGGGGAAUGUUGGACAAUGGGGGAAAGCCUGAUCCAGCCGUGCCGCGUGUGUGAAGACGGUCUUCGGAUCGUAAAGCCCUUUAAGUUGGGAGGAAGGGCAGUAAGUUAAUACCUUGCUGUUUUGACGGUACCAACAGAAUAAGCACCGGCUAACUACGUG